GACGAACGCUGGCGGCAUGCCUAACACAUGCAAGUCGAACGAGACCUUCGGGUCUAGUGGCGCACCGGUGCUUACCACGUGGGAACCUGCCCUUGGGUUCGCAAUAACUCCCCGAAAGGUAUGCUAAUACCGGUUAAUCUCUUCGGGCAAAGGAUUUAUCGCCUUUGGAUGGGGCCGCGUUGGAUUCGCUAGUUGGUAGUGGAAAAGCAUACCAAGGCGACGUUCCAUGGCUGGUCUGAGAGCAUGCUCCGCUCCACUGGGACUGCGACACAGCCCAGACCCCUACGGAGGGGAGCAGUGGGGAAUAUUGGAGAAGGGGCGAAAGCGUGAUCACGCAAUGCCGCGGGAGUGAGGAAGGCCUUAGGGUUGUAAAGCUGUUUUACCCGGGAUGAUAAUGACAGUACUGGGAGAAUAAGCUCCGGCUAACUCCGUG
rnacentral:rRNA from 1 species